AUGUCUUCUGAUAAUCAGGGGUCAGCAGAUGAGUAUGAAAGCUAAUUAUCCCCACUACUCAGGGAAUUUAGAGGCUUCCCCUUUUGUCUUUGUAGGAAUAGCAGACUUUCUGACUGUAAUGUCCAAAGUUCUUUACAAGUUGAAGUACAGAAGAGAUCAGAAAAUGUCUUACGCACAUGAGAGUUGUUAUCCAAAGAUUUGUCAUAGGAGCAGCGACUCUAGGUGUUCUCUAUUCUAUUUAGAAGAAUUACAUUAGAUUUUGAUUCCUCAAUGUGGCCAAGAAAUAG
rnacentral:lncRNA from 1 species